rnacentral:lncRNA from 1 species
CAGAGUUUGUGUUAUUCUUUGGAUAACUGAUGCUUUUUAAAUUAUCCUUAUAAGAUGAUAGUCCCAGUCCCUUCUGGGACUAGUUCCUGUGAUUUCUUCAUACUUAUUUAAAUUACCUUACUGAGGAACUCAAACAAACAAGGAAAUAUAAUGAUACUUACAUAUUUAUUUUACUUAACAAACAAAAAUACAGUGCCUUUUUUAGGUAGGCAGCCUCUAAUUUGGAUGGCUCCCAGUAACACCCCACCUUCUGGUAUCCAUCCCCACAAGAUACCAAAAAAAUCCAUCUUCCCUUGAGUUUGAGUGAGAUUUAAUAACUCUGCUAAUGAAUGACAUGGCAGAAGUGUGGGGAUAUCUCUUCCAAAACUGGAUUUUUAAAAAAAGACUCUUCUGUCUUAGGUGUUUCCUCUUGCUGCUGGCUACCUCUCUCUUGGAAUUCCAACUGUCAUGUAAAGUUCAGCCUGUUCUGUUGGUAAAUACUGGUAAAGAAAAGGACCUAGGAAGAGGCAUUCCCACUGACAGCCAGCACCAAUUCACAGCUCCUUAAAAGAUUUCAAUGCUAGUCAAGGCUUAGGUGUUGCAGCCAUAAUUGAAAAUGUGAAUGUAACUUCAUCAGAGACCUUAAGCCAGAAACAUCCAUUAGUUAAGUGACUUCCUGAUUCUUUACCCACAAA